rnacentral:rRNA from 1 species
UUCGCAACGCCCGAAAGGGUCUGACCUAUCCCUGGAGGAAGCACGGGCUAAGUUCGUGCCAGCAGCCGCGGUAAGACGAACCGUGCGAACGUUGUUCGGAAUCACUGGGCUUAAAGGGCGCGUAGGCGGGCCGCAAAGUCAGGGGUGAAAUCCUCCAGCUCAACUGGAGAACUGCCUUUGAUACUGGCGGCCUGGAGUAAGGUAGGGGCAUGCGGAACUGAUGGUGGAGCGGUGAAAUGUGUUGAUAUCAUCAGGAACUCCGGUGGCGAAAGCGGCGUGCUGGACCUUUACUGACGCUGAGGCGCGAAAGCCAGGGGAGCAAACGGGAUUAGAUACCCCGGUAGUCCUGGCCCUAAACGAUGGGCACUAAGUAGAGGGGUUUUAAUC